AGCGGAUACUCUUCUUAUCAGAUGCGUCUUCCCAGUGUGUCUUGCGCACGUAACUGGUGAUUUCAAAAUAUUGUAUUGUUUGGUUGAGAUGUCAAAAUCUGAGCAGGACACAUUGUGGCUUCAUAUCUUGUGUGGUGAUGACAUCUAACAUAUUUUAUUAAGUUAUAUUCGUCAUUUCCACUUGCUUUUCUUUACUUUUGCAUCUGUUUUUUGCAACUCUUUUCGGAGCGAUUACAGAAUACCCGUCCACUUUUUAGACUUUUUAAGCUAAGCCUUUCAAACACGGACACGAUGUAUUAAUACAUCUAUAUUUAUUCUCAAUAGAUUAAUAAUA